rnacentral:misc_RNA from 1 species
GAUGAAGAACGCAGCGAAAUGCGAUAAGUAGUGUGAAUUGCAGAAUUCCGUGAAUCAUCGAAUCUUUGAACGCACAUUGCGCCCUUUGGCAUUCCGAAGGGCACACCUGUCCGAGCGCCGUCGCACAACUGAGGCGCAGCCUUGCGUUGGCGGGCGACUUGUGAGUAGCGAGUCGCCGCCCAAACGAGACGGCGCCGCGCCGCGGCCGACGAAGCACGAAAGCGGAAGUCGACGCGGAGGCGGUUGCCUGUAGGAAGACACAGCUUGGCCUCGGAUCAGGUGGGGAUACCCGCUGAACUUAAGCAUAUCAAUAAGCGGAGGA